rnacentral:rRNA from 1 species
UACGGAGGGUGCAAGCAUUAAUCGGAUUUAUUGGGCGUAAAGGGCGCGUAGGCGGGGAUUUAAGUCAGAUGUGAAAUCCUGGGGCUCAACCUCAGAACUGCAUUUGAAACUAAAUUUCUAGAGGGUAGACGGAGAAAACAGAAUUCCACAAGUAGCGGUGAAAUGCGUAGAUAUCUGGAGGAACACCGGUGGCGAAGGCGGCAUCCUGGACCAUUACUGACGCUGAGGAGCGAAAGCUAGGGGAGCAAACGGG